UGUUACUUUUAGUUUGAUGUCGGAGCCUCGACGAGCCGGUUGUAAGCGUGACUUUCGUUUAAUUCUACUUUAUUAUUGUUGUUGUUGUUCUUGUUCGCCCGCCGUCGUGGUCGCCGCGGUCUCCGUUGCCUAGUGUGUGUGAGUGUGCUCGUGUUGUGUGUAUGUGUAUCGUCCCCGUGUGCGUGUGUGUAUGUUUAGUUUAAGCGAAAUUGAAAGUUGUACAUUUUGCUACCCCCAAAAAGCAAAGCGCUGCAUACAAUCGCGCGCUCACACAUAGUACGUGUGUGUGUGCGCCACGCCACACCAACCAAAAACCAACCCCCACCAACAAGAAUAACAACAAUAAUAACAACAGCAGCAGCAAAAACAACUGCUACAACAACAAGAAAGCAAGUUUUAGCACCACCCACUGUUGAGAAGCACCGCAUUUUAGUCAUCGUCAUCGUCUGUUGUUUGUGUGCUUCUUCUCCUCCACUUCCAUUGCGUUUCAGUUUCGCAGGCUCAGCGCUCAUCAUUAAUGUUACACAGUUACAGUUAACUCUGCUAGUAGUGUUGGUUAGUGCACAAUUGAAAUAACCAAAAUAAACGCAACAAAAAAGCGAAAGUGUUACACAAGUCACAAAACCGUCAUCGAAGAAUCGCGUCUCCAAAAAAGAAAAGAAAAUAAAAGAAAAAAACAACAACCAAUUGGUAAAUCGCAGUCCAGCGCACUCCUGCGUGUGUCGAGUGCGUGUGUAUUGUUUGUGUACGCGAAGUGUGCGUGUAUUAGUGUGCUUGUGUAUGGUGAAGAAGCAUUGUUAAAAUAAUAUAAAAACUGUCAUGAUGAAUUUCUCCGCGUUCGGCGGCCCCUUCUCUGGCAUUCAUCAGUUUGCUGCUAAAUUUGAUGCACAAACACCGGGUGCAUUUGGAACGCCACCAGUGAACGCAGCGGCCGCUGCAGCGGGCAGCGAUAAUCAUGUGCAACGCUAUCAGACCAAUGGCAAUCAUUUCAAUCAGAAUGUGCCCAACGUUUCGGCGGCCAAUAAUAUGCAAUAUGGUCAAAAUAUAUCCAUACCGUACUCACAGCCGCAGAGUGAUCUAAACUUUUUGAAUGCGGCAGCAGCAGCGGAUCAUAAGGGUAAAAUCCAUCCAAAAAUUGAACGUGACCGGGAAGAAGUGCUCAAUCAGCAAAUCUUACAGAAUGUCAAUCAGUCGUGGCAGACGCUGGCCAACACGGCCAACACUGUCGACUAUUCAUCGCAUUUGCUAUCCGCAACACUGCCAAUAUCCAUACAGCACUUCCUCAAGUACUCGGAAACAAUAAAGAAGGAAUCCUCGGGUGAUGUGCUUAAGAAUGGCACUAACUUGGCCAGCCUGGCGCUGGGCGGCGUCGCAUUAACGCCCAGCAACAAUGGCGCCAACGGUGGUGGGGCCCAUCAUAACGGUGGCCUCGUUGGCAUGGAGCAUGGUGGCGGGCAUAUGACCAACAUGACGGAUGCCAAUGGCGCCGCAUUGGCCAACGGUGGCGCCACCAAUGGUGUCAAUGGCAAUGCGAACGGUACGGUGACCAAUGGAGCUGCCGUAUCCAGCACUGCAGCGGUGGGCACCACAAAUGCCACAGGUGGUGGCACCACCACCACCACCGGCAAGAAAACCAAAAAGAAGAAACCCCCAAAGGAGAAGAAGCCACGUCCCAAGCCCGGCGAAAUUCGUGAAACGAAAGCAUUGGAUGGCUCCACGCUCUAUUGCUGCCCCGAAUGCCAGAUGGCCUAUCCGGAUCGCAGUCUGAUCGAACAGCACGUCAUCUCGCAUGCCGUGGAGCGUCGCUUCGUCUGCGAUAUCUGCAAUGCGGCGCUUAAGCGCAAAGAUCAUUUGACCCGGCACAAGCUGUCUCACAUACCAGACAGGCCGCAUGUUUGCAAUAUAUGCAUGAAGUCGUUUAAGCGCAAGGAACAGCUCACCUUGCACAUUGUUAUACACUCGGGCGAGAAGAAACACGUCUGCAUCGAGUGUGGAAAAGGUUUCUAUCGCAAGGAUCACUUGCGUAAACAUACGCGUUCGCACAUCGCUCGACGCGUCAAAUCGGAAGUAUCAGCCCAGAAUGUGAAUGGUGGCACUACCGCCACUAACAAUGCGCAGAAUAAUUCGCUACAUGGUUCCUGAGGUUCGUACAAGGACUUUUGGUAAAGUCUUUAACACAUUUCAUGCCACAAAAGAGCUACUCAGUUUUUGCCAACACUUUGUCGAUAGCAAUGCGUUCGCAAAGUGAUGGAAAAAGCUGAGUGUGCUUUUGAAAUGUGUUGAGGAGUUUACCGAAGGUCCUGCUGAGCGUCACCCCAAAUCCAAUAACCCUCAGAAAAAAGAAACAAAACAAAUACAAGUUAUAUACUUACAAACUACAAUAUAUGCAAGUAUUAGUUAAAUUUUGUUUACAACACUUUCAGUUCUUUAGCUUUGGUUCUUUCAGUUCACAUUUUCGCACAAAAAGUUAAGCAAAGUAUAGCAAUUUAAAUGUACAAAAAAGUAAAACAAAAACGAAGCAAACGCAAAAGAUGGAAAGAAAUUUUAAAACAUGAAGUAGGCGCAUUUCAUUUCGACUAAAAAACAGUUUGCUUUCAUUUCGUUAUGAGGAUCUGUGAUCUUUGCUGCAUAAAAAAUAACACGAAAGAAAUGAAAAGAAAAAGAAAAACGGAUAGAUGGCAACUUUAAGCUUUUAAGUGUAAUUAAAUAAGUUUUAAAGAAUUUAUGUGCAAUUUGUUUACACACAUUAUAAUUUGCAUAUUCUAUUGUUCAUCCAGCUUUUGUUUAUUGAUCGUCUUAAAUAUAUGUACGUAGAAUAAGUUUGGAAAUUUAUUUGAGGAAACCCAUUUGAUGCGCAUAUUUGAUAAGUAAAGAUGUACGAAUUGAGAAGGGUAUAUAUUUCUAGUCUUAUACUUUAUUCGAUCAAUUAUGAAUGAGUAACUUGAGGCAGUCAGCCCUGUUUCGAGUUCCGCUUUCGCAUUUCACAUAUGAGAAAAAGUUGCGAGAGCGGAAUUCGAAGCAAGCCUGCGUGUCCUUUAAUUUUAAGCUUUUAAAGAGUAACAAAAAAGAAAAGAAAUCCACACUUCGAAGUGAGCAAACACUAAACAGAUAAAUGCAAUCCAAGCUAGCGUCUUUGCAUGCCCAACUUCCAAUCGUCGUUUAGAUCAAAGCUACCAUUAACAGAUAAAAGCAAAUUACAACAAUAUACCAUAUAAUACUCUUUAGCUAUAGCCAACUUACCAUGCUUACCAAAUACAAAAUACAACAAAAUGGAAAAACCAGAAUACAACAAUAUACAUAUAUAUAUACAUAUAUAGAUACUAUACUAUAACCAAUCGACAAAAGAAAAAAAAAAAAACAAAAACAAAGAAAAAAGAAACCGCUGAGCAGCUCUAAAUGAAAACAAAACGCUAACCAAAAACAAUAACUGCAAUAAAACUCAAUAAACAAAAGAAAUAUAUUUUAUAUAAAUGCAAAAGGAAACAGACUUAUACCAAAUAAAAAAGAAAAAACAAAAACAAAUGGAAAAAGAAAACGUUAAAAGUAUAGGAUAUGAAUGAAUGAAAGGCAUAAAACAAUAACCGAAAUAAAGUGCAAACACUUCGUGCAAGUGAAACGUAAUUUACUGUUCAAAUACAUAGCAUUUUUUGAGAUUAACUAUAAAGUAAAGUAAAGGUGUAAACAAUACCAUAUACGUUUUAUCAUAUGUACCAGCAUACAUAUUUACAUAUAGUUAUACGAAAGCUUCAAACUAAUAUACAUACAUGCAUAAUUACAUUUAAACCAAAUACAAAUAGUUGUAAUGGUUUUGUGUUUUAUCCUUAUCCUCAUCCUUUUCAUUGUUUCUCAAUAUCACAUAGAAAUGAUCUCUGGGCACAAAGUUAUCGAUCAAUCAACAUUGAUAACACCAUUGUAAAGCUCUUUCUUCAAUGUCCUGAAAGAUUUGUUCCCAUUUGCGUUCCCUUGAGCAUUCAACUUGUAAGCUUUUAAAUAGAGUCAGUUGUCGAACUUCGUGCCCAUCGCGUCAUUUCAAACGAAUGCAGAGAUUGUUUUUUAUUGCGUUUUGGUUUUGACCUUAGUCAUACUUUGUGAUGUAAUAUCAAUGUGCUACAUUUGUAUUCACAAUAUGCUCAGUUCUUUUUCCUAAGGCAUAACUAUGAAUAUGUACGUUAUUCGUGUGCAACAAAACAAAACAAAAAAUAAAAAAACAGCUUAAAUUAUAUUCAGAGCGAACCGUAAUAGUUGGCUUUGUGCGUUGCUUUGAAUACAAAAGUUAUUGAAAUACUUGCAGUAAAGUACAAACAAAUACACACUCAUACAUACAUUCACAAGUGAACAAUACAUGUGGUGUACAUUAAAUGUAAAGAGAAGAAGCACCCAGAUUAAAUGAAGUAAGCCAUAAAAAGUAUUAGCCAAAAGUUACAUAUUAAUUACCAUAGAUGGGAGAGAAUGCUUAAAGUACAGUUACUACAAAUUAGAAUGGUACAUUUUGGAAACUUUUUCGUAGCUCCCCAAAAUGUGCCUCCGAGUGCCACACAGAAGACGAGUAGUCAGCCCACGCAAACUUUUAAAAUUCGCAAUUUUUUUGUUUAGCAUACUUAUAUAAAUCGCAUAAGAGAAUAUAAAACAAUAAGUUUAUAAAGAAAAAUUGCAAUAAAUGACAAACAAAGGAAAUUAAAUCACUCAGGGAUGAAGCCUCCAAACAAACAAAACAAAACAAAAAAACAUAAAGUAAAAAAUGCAAUAUUUUAAAUGAAACUAAAUAAAACGAGCAAAAAAAAAAGCAAAACAAAACUAAAUUUAUAAAUAAAAGAAAAAAUGGUACAUUUUAAAGUUAAAUAUUUUAGAAUAAAGAAAAACAAAACACGAAAAUAACGAAUGAUAAUAACAAAAUAAAAAAAAAAAACUCAUUAGAAAUUUGCACAAAUUUUUGGCAUUUUAUAUAAAUAAAAAUCAAACAAGAGCAUAAAAGAGCAAGAAAAUAUAAACAUAUUAAACAUGAAAUAAUAAAUUAAACACACAUAUUUUUCCAAAUAUUUAACGAAUUGGUUUAGCGAAGGUAUAACAGGCAAAACAAUUGAUUUAAAAUAAUAAACGAAAUCGUAAAACAAAACACAGUCCGUGCAACUCUUAGUGAAUUUAAAUGAAAUGUAUUACAAUUUACAUAUUUACAAAUACAAGACAAAACA